rnacentral:rRNA from 1 species
GGGUGAGUAAUGCCUAGCGAAUCUGCCUGGUAGUGGGGGAUAACGUUCGGAAACGGACGCUAAUACCGCAUACGUCCUACGGGAGAAAGCAGGGGACCUUCGGGCCUUGCGCUAUCAGAUGAGCCUAGGUCGNAUUAGCUAGUUGGUGGGGUAAUGGCUCACCAAGGCGACGAUCCGUAACUGGUCUGAGAGGAUGAUCAGUCACACUGGAACUGAGACACGGUCCAGACUCCUACGGGAGGCAGCAGUGGGGAAUAUUGGACAAUGGGCGAAAGCCUGAUCCAGCCAUGCCGCGUGUGUGAAGAAGGUCUUCGGAUUGUAAAGCACUUUAAGUUGGGAGGAAGGGUUGUAGAUUAAUACUCUGCAAUUUUGACGUUACCGACAGAAUAAGCACCGGCUAACUCUGUGCCAGCAGCCGCGGUAAUACAGAGGGUGCAAGCGUUAAUCGGAAUUACUGGGCGUAAAGCGCGCGUAGGUGGUUAGUUAAGUUGGAUGUGAAAUCCCCGGGCUCAACCUGGGAACUGCAUUCAAAACUGACUGACUAGAGUAUGGUAGAGGGUGGUGGAAUUUCCUGUGUAGCGGUGNAAAUGCGUAGAUAUAGGAAGGAACACCAGUGGCGAAGGCGACCACCUGGACUGAUACUGACACUGAGGUGCGAAAGCGUGGGGAGCAAACAGGAUUAGA